rnacentral:rRNA from 1 species
GAACGCUGGCGGCGUGCCUAAUACAUGCAAGUCGUACGCUUCUUUUUCCACCGGAGCUUGCUCCACCGGAAAAAGAAGAGUGGCGAACGGGUGAGUAACACGUGGGUAACCUGCCCAUCAGAAGGGGAUAACACUUGGAAACAGGUGCUAAUACCGUAUAACAAUCGAAACCGCAUGGUUUUGAUUUGAAAGGCGCUUUCGGGUGUCGCUGAUGGAUGGACCCGCGGUGCAUUAGCUAGUUGGUGAGGUAACGGCUCACCAAGGCUACGAUGCAUAGCCGACCUGAGAGGGUGAUCGGCCACAUUGGGACUGAGACACGGCCCAAACUCCUACGGGAGGCAGCAGUAGGGAAUCUUCGGCAAUGGACGAAAGUCUGACCGAGCAACGCCGCGUGAGUGAAGAAGGUUUUCGGAUCGUAAAACUCUGUUGUUAGAGAAGAACAAGGAUGAGAGUAACUGUUCAUCCCUUGACGGUAUCUAACCAGAAAGCCACGGCUAACUACGUGCCAGCAGCCGCGGUAAUACGUAGGUGGCAAGCGUUGUCCGGAUUUAUUGGGCGUAAAGCGAGCGCAGGCGGUUUCUUAAGUCUGAUGUGAAAGCCCCCGGCUCAACCGGGGAGGGUCAUUGGAAACUGGGAGACUUGAGUGCAGAAGAGGAGAGUGGAAUUCCAUGUGUAGCGGUGAAAUGCGUAGAUAUAUGGAGGAACACCAGUGGCGAAGGCGGCUCUCUGGUCUGUAACUGACGCUGAGGCUCGAAAGCGUGGGGAGCAAACAGGAUUAGAUACCCUGGUAGUCCACGCCGUAAACGAUGAGUGCUAAGUGUUGGAGGGUUUCCGCCCUUCAGUGCUGCAGCUAACGCAUUAAGCACUCCGCCUGGGGAGUACGACCGCAAGGUUGAAACUCAAAGGAAUUGACGGGGGCCCGCACAAGCGGUGGAGCAUGUGGUUUAAUUCGAAGCAACGCGAAGAACCUUACCAGGUCUUGACAUCCUUUGACCACUCUAGAGAUAGAGCUUCCCCUUCGGGGGCAAAGUGACAGGUGGUGCAUGGUUGUCGUCAGCUCGUGUCGUGAGAUGUUGGGUUAAGUCCCGCAACGAGCGCAACCCUUAUUGUUAGUUGCCAUCAUUCAGUUGGGCACUCUAGCAAGACUGCCGGUGACAAACCGGAGGAAGGUGGGGAUGACGUCAAAUCAUCAUGCCCCUUAUGACCUGGGCUACACACGUGCUACAAUGGGAAGUACAACGAGUCGCGAAGUCGCGAGGCUAAGCUAAUCUCUUAAAGCUUCUCUCAGUUCGGAUUGUAGGCUGCAACUCGCCUACAUGAAGCCGGAAUCGCUAGUAAUCGCGGAUCAGCACGCCGCGGUGAAUACGUUCCCGGGCCUUGUACACACCGCCCGUCACACCACGAGAGUUUGUAACACCCGAAGUCGGUGAGGUAACCUUUUGGAGCCAGCCGCCUAAGGUGGGAUAGAUGAUUGGGGUGAAGUC